rnacentral:rRNA from 1 species
AACUUUCAACAACGGAUCUCUUGGUUCUGGCAUCGAUGAAGAACGCAGCGAAAUGCGAUAACUAAUGUGAAUUGCAGAAUUCAGUGAAUCAUCGAGUCUUUGAACGCACAUUGCGCCCCCUGGUAUUCCGGGGGGCAUGCCUGUCCGAGCGUCAUU